GAUGAACGCUGGCGGCGCGCCUAACACAUGCAAGUCGAACGGACGAUGAAGAGCUUGCUUUUCAAAGUUAGUGGCGGACGGGUGAGUAACGCGUGGGUAACCUGCCUCAUACAGGGGAAUAGCAGCUGGAAACGGCUGAUAAAACCGCAUAAGCGCACAGUGCCGCAUGGCACAGUGUGAAAAACUCCGGUGGUAUGAGAUGGACCCGCGUCUGAUUAGCUGGUUGGUGAGGUAACGGCCCACCAAGGCGACGAUCAGUAGCCGGCCUGAGAGGGUGAUCGGCCACAUUGGGACUGAGACACGGCCCAAACUCCUACGGGAGGCAGCAGUGGGGAAUAUUGCACAAUGGGGGAAACCCUGAUGCAGCGACGCCGCGUGAAGGAAGAAGUAUCUCGGUAUGUAAACUUCUAUCAGCAGGGAAGAUAAUGACGG
rnacentral:rRNA from 1 species